rnacentral:tRNA from 51 species
GCCUUGAUGGUGAAAUGGUA